CGGACUGUCUGUAAAUUACAGCCAACGGACUUCGGAUGUACAGGAUAAUGACGUGCGGACGAUACAUAGGGUUUUCUCCAAAAUCCGUCGACGCAGACUAACAGACGUUCGGCCGCGAUGGCAUGCGAUGUGCCAUGUUCAAAAGUACGACGUAUACGCGAAUGACGUGCGUGGUUGCAUUUAAACUUCUAGAGAGUGAUGUCGUUUAUACCGCCGGGAUGCGAUCGAUCAGAAGCCGUUGGUGAAAAAGGUUUCGUGCCCGAUGCCACGCAAAUACACACGUUCAUACGCACAACCGAGUAGUAAAGGGUUUUUUUUUUUUUUAUUCAUUAUAAAUGUGGAAAAUCUUCCGGCACGCCGACGAACACGUUGACGGUAUUUUGUGUAAUUAUUGUAAAUAAACACCGCC